rnacentral:rRNA from 1 species
UCAAACUGGAGAUGGCGACCGGCGCACGGGUGAGUAACACGUAUCCAACCUGCCGAUAACUCGGGGAGUAGCCUUUCGAAAGAAAGAUUAAUACCCGAUGGCAUAAUAGAACCGCAUGGUUUGAUUAUUAAAGAAUUUCGGUUAUCGAUGGGGAUGCGUUCCAUUAGGCAGUUGGUGGGGUAACGGCCCACCAAACCUUCGAUGGAUAGGGGUUCUGAGAGGAAGGUCCCCCACAUUGGAACUGAGAUACGGUCCAAACUCCUACGGGAGGCAGCAUG